rnacentral:rRNA from 1 species
AUUGAACGCUGGCGGCAUGCCUUACACAUGCAAGUCGAACGGUAACAGGGAGCUUGCUCCGCUGACGAGUGGCGAACGGGUGAGUAAUGUAUCGGAACGUACCAUUCAGUGGGGGAUAACGUAGCGAAAGUUACGCUAAUACCGCAUAUUCUGUGAGCAGGAAAGCAGGGGAUCGCAAGACCUUGCGCUGAUUGAGCGGCCGAUAUCAGAUUAGCUAGUUGGUGAGGUAAAGGCUCACCAAGGCGACGAUCUGUAGCGGGUCUGAGAGGAUGAUCCGCCACACUGGAACUGAGACACGGUCCAGACUCCUACGGGAGGCAGCAGUGGGGAAUUUUGGACAAUGGGGGCAACCCUGAUCCAGCCAUGCCGCGUGAGUGAAGAAGGCCUUCGGGUUGUAAAGCUCUUUCGGCCGGGAAAAAUCGGCAUCAGUUAAUACCUGGUGUGGAUGAUGGUACCGGAAUAAGAAGCACCGCUAACUACGU